CCAAUUGUUUAUCGAUACUGUUGUGCAUUGUUCUCAAUCCAAUUGCAAAACUAAAGUUCCCCACUGUGAUUUUUUGUGUCUACCCCCCCGUGUCUGGAGUGGGGAAUUUUCACGCCCGCGGCCCUCCCUGGGGGUGGGAUCCCUCUCUCACGCGCCCCCUCCCAAAUCUAAACCCAAUUCUCCUUUUCCCGUUUCUGCGCUGGGGUUCCCAUACACUAUCCUCUCAAGCUGAGAGGGGGCAAACUUUUAAAAAACCUCUCUUCCUAAACACGCGAUAUGACAAGUUGUUAUUACUCCCAAACAGACGGAGUCUAUUGGUUUUCAUUCUAAUAAAACACCUCUUCAAAGUCGAGGGAGUGAUCACGUAUUAACUCUAGAAAUACUAAGGUUAUCCCAGUAGUACAUUUCAUCUAACAACUAUAUCUGAUAUAUAGAGCCAUUCGCACUUCUAGAAAAAUUAUACUUAUCAUGCUGCUGAAUAUUGAGACGAGCGUAUGACACAGCAGAUCAUCGGAUAUAUAGUGAUCGGCCGAUAUAUAGUGCUGCUGUGAUAGAUAACACACAA
rnacentral:rRNA from 1 species